AACACUGUUAACCUGCGGUACCUGCGGAGGGAUCAUAACUGGUUAAACUUUAUAAACACCAGAGUUUCAAACUCUGUGUUUGCAAACAAAAAACACCCUUCAAAACAGCUAUUCAGUGUCUGAAUUAACUAGUUUAAUAUAAAAACAACUUUCAACAACGGAUCU
rnacentral:misc_RNA from 1 species